rnacentral:rRNA from 1 species
GGGAUAGCACUUAGAAAUAGGUGCUAAUACCGCAUAAUAAAAUAUAUUGCAUGAUAUAUUUUUGAAAGCUGCGGCGGUGCAGGAUGGGCCCGCGUCUGAUUAGCCAGUUGGCGGGGUAACGGCCCACCAAAGCGACGAUCAGUAGCCGGCCUGAGAGGGUGAACGGCCACAUUGGGACUGAGACACGGCCCAAACUCCUACGGGAGGCAGCAGUGGGGGAUAUUGGACAAUGGGGGGAACCCUGAUCCAGCGACGCCGCGUGAGUGAAGAAGUAUUUCGGUAUGUAAAGCUCUAUCAGCAGGGAAGAAAAGAAUGACGGUACCUGAAUAAGAAGCCCCGGCUAACUACGUGCCAGCAGCUGCGGUAAUACGUAGGGGGCAAGCGUUAUCCGGAUUUACUGGGUGUAAAGGGAGCGCAGACGGCAAUGCAAGCCUGGAGUGAAAGGCGGGGGCCCAACCCCCGGACUGCUCUGGGAACUGUAUAGCUAGAGUGCAGGAGAGGCAAGUGGAAUUCCUAGUGUAGCGGUGAAAUGGUAGAUAUUAGGAGGAACACCAGUGGCGAAGGCGGCUUGCUGGACUGUAACUGACGUUGAGGCUCGAAAGCGUGGGGAGCAAACAGGAUUAGAUACCCUGGUAGUCCACGCCGUAAACGAUGAUUACUAGGUGUCGG